rnacentral:rRNA from 1 species
UCGAACGGGAUCCAGGCAGCUUGCUGCCUGGUGAGAGUGGCGAACGGGUGAGUAAUGCGUGACCGACCUGCCCCAUACACCGGAAUAGCUCCUGGAAACGGGUGGUAAUGCCGGAUGCUCCGACUCCUCGCAUGGGGUGUCGGGAAAGAUUAUAUCGGUAUGGGAUGGGGUCGCGUCCUAUCAGGUAGUCGGCGGGGUAACGGCCCACCGAGCCUACGACGGGUAGCCGACCUGAGAGGGUGAUCGGCCACAUUGGGACUGAGACACGGCCCAAACUCC